GUCUCUGUGGCUCAAUCCGUUGUGGCAGCGUUUGGCUGUUAACUGAAAGGUUGGUGGUUCAAGCCCACCCAGGUUCG
rnacentral:tRNA from 1 species